rnacentral:lncRNA from 1 species
GAUCUUUCAACCUAUACGUGGAACAUUCUAACAUCUUCGUUUCUUGCAGGAAUCAUAUUUAGGUUUUUAUAAAAGCGAGGAUAAUAUAACAUGAUGUUUUGACACUCGAACUCCCUACCCCCAUUUUUCUCUAUCCCGUCACGAGCAAUCGAAUGACUUUUGGGAAAUGUAAAAGAAAUUUUCUAACCGGUUAGAGAGCUCAUUCAAGCUUGAGGCUUGUUCGGAAAAAUCCAAUCGCGCUCGCCUGACGCCCUAUCUUUCGCCUAGGUGGAGAGGAGGCCCAUUCGACAACCAUAAUAGGCUCUAUAACUGGAUCACGCACGCUAAGAACACAACGGAUUAGAGGGGACAAGAGGUUCCACUCAUCAAAGUGUGAGACGCAAAGCUUCUGCCUAGAAGCAAGCUACCCUCUUUGCCACUUUCAAAUCAAUAAUAACGAUGUCAUCGAUAUUCCAAUCCGAUCUUUUCUUUCUUCACCCCUACGUACGGCAGGCCCUUCUUCGACGAGUGCGCUUUCCCCAGCCUCCAAUCUAAUAAUGUAGAACAUAUUAAGACUGAUAGUAUUGCAAAUGACACUACGACUUUUGAAUUCAAGAAGUCAAAUAUACUAGUUGGAGAUAAGCAUCCAGUACUUCCUAGAAUUAUGAUCA